GAAAACGUGGUAUAGCAAAAGGGUCAUUGUAGUUUCGCACUCCUCUCCCGUGUGAGUUAUUACUUCAGGAAUAGAAACUUGUCUUGAUUACAGAUGAAAUACGUAUGUCUACCAAAGAGUUUUUAUGAUGCGUACAUAGCCUAGGAGAUGCAACGCACCAGGUGUAUGUGUGCAUGCCCUACGUGUGGAAACGGGAGUGGCCAAUUAGGCCAUGCGAGUAUAUCUUGAGAAUGAAUCAAAAUAACAGUAUUUUUACGUCUGGGAUAUUCAGAUAUUUAUAUUUACGCACACAACCGUGUAUCAUUAUUUGUCUGCGUUACGAGAAAAUGCCGUCCGGAG